GCUCAGGAUAACGCUGCGGCGUGCUUAACACAUGCAAGUCGAACGAUGAACCUCACUUGUGGGGGGAUUAGUGGCGAACGGGUGAGUAACACGUGAGUAACCUGCCCUUGACUCUGGGAUAAGCCUGGGAAACUGGGUCUAAUACCGGAUAUGACUCCUCAUCGCAUGGUGGGGGGUGGAAAGCUUUUUGUGGUUUUGGAUGGACUCGCGGCCUAUCAGCUUGUUGGUGAGGUAAUGGCUCACCAAGGCGACGACGGGUAGCCGGCCUGAGAGGGUGACCGGCCACACUGGGACUGAGACACGGCCCAGACUCCUACGGGAGGCAGCAGUGGGGAAUAUUGCACAAUGGGCGAAAGCCUGAUGCAGCGACGCCGCGUGAGGGAUGACGGCCUUCGGGUUGUAAACCUCUUUCAGUAGGGAAGAAGCGAAAGUGACGGUACCUGCAGAAGAAGCGCCGG
rnacentral:rRNA from 1 species